rnacentral:rRNA from 1 species
UGGGGAAUAUUGCACAAUGGGCGAAAGCCUGAUGCAGCAACGCCGCGUGAGUGAUGAAGGUCUUCGGAUUGUAAAGCUCUGUCUUUUGGGACGAUAAUGACGGUACCAAAGGAGGAAGCCACGGCUAACUACGUGCCAGCAGUCGCGGUAAUACGUAGGUGGCGAGCGUUGUCCGGAUUUACUGGGCGUAAAGGGUGCGUAGGCGGAUGUUUAAGUGAGAUGUGAAAUACCCGGGCUUAACUUGGGUGCUGCAUUUCAAACUGGAUAUCUAGAGUGCAGGAGAGGAGAAUGGAAUUCCUAGUGUAGCGGUGAAAUGCGUAGAGAUUAGGAAGAACACCAGUGGCGAAGGCGAUUCUCUGGACUGUAACUGACGCUGAGGCACGAAAGCGUGGGUAGCAAACAGGAUUAGAUACCCUGGUAGUCCACGCCGUAAACGAUGAGUAUUAGGUGUAGGAGGUAUCGACCCCUUCUGUGCCGCAGUAAACACAUUAAGUACUCCGCCUGGGAAGUACGAUCGCAAGAUUAAAA